UACAGAGACUGCAAGCGUUAUUCGGAUUCACUGGGCGUAAAGGGUGCGCAGGCGGCCAAGUUUGUGAGGCGUGAAAGCCCGGGGCUUAACCCCGGAAUUGCACCUCAAACUACAUGGCUAGAGCAUUGGAGAGGGUAGCAGAAUUCAUGGUGUAGCAGUGAAAUGCGUAGAUAUCAUGAGGAAUACCAGAGGCGAAGGCGGCUACCUGGACAAUUGCUGACGCUCAGGCACGAAAGCGUGGGGAGCAAAAGGG
rnacentral:rRNA from 1 species